ensembl:lncRNA
UAAACACAAAAAGGCAAAUGGUAGUAAAUAAAUUGUAAACUGGUUAAAUAAACGACUUCUUGGAACUUUCAGACUGCCAUUGUUUUGGGAAAUAGAGGUAUGUAUAUAUAUUUCGCCAAAUAUCUCUCAAUGUGUAUAUUUAAAAAAAAAAAUUAAAAGUAGGACACCAUUUUAUUCAAUAUAAUCGCUUCUUUCUAAUUAUGUAAGGCUGGGCACUGUAUCUCGUUGUCCUUGACCACUAGACCAAAAAUAGUCCUUAGUUGCAAUUUGUUUUAUACUUCCUCGUUAUGCAGAUGUAGCUGAUGUAAAAUGGCUAGCUAGUUAGCGGGAUCGGGGCGAGGGGACGGACGUAAAAUCUAUACUGUUACACAGACAUAAGCGCAGUUGACACCAUCGAGGAUAGUGAGAUGAGGGUGAAGUCCAGGCACCAAAAGAAAGUACUAUCCGGUGAAACACUUCCGUUUUCUCUGUGCUAUGGUUUUUGACCUUCUUCAAUUGGAUGAUGGCCUCCUCCUGCAUGACACCUGUGCUACAUGCUGCUUCCUGUAUGCUUGUGAGGAAGACUCCUUCCGCCACCUCUGUCACCUGAGCCGCCUCCUGUAUGCUUCUGAGGAAGCCUUCUGCCAUCUGUCACCUGACAGACCACCUCCUGCAGACCACCUGAACUAAAUUCAGUAUCUGCUGCUUCCUCUGCUGGAGCUGGGACUACGCUCUCCUUCACUCUCUUGUUCUCUCUUUCUCAUGUUAAACUCCUACGUCUUCUUCCCUAUCCUCUACUUAAAAAAUAGACAAUUCAAGACUUUAAACAUGUUGAUAUAAAACAAUAACGAUGCACCUUUAAUUGCUUUGUGGUUGACUUAUUUUUCUACUUUGCUGUGCAUCUGUUGCAGAUUGAGGGGGUGGAUUCAUGCAAUUUAUUCUGGUAGGUACUGCCUUGGAGGACAGUGUCUUUCGUGAACCCUGUUGAAAGACAUUUUUUACCAGAAAGGUAUGUGACUGAAAUGUAUUUUUAUUGACAAAGAUGGGCAAUAAUCAGAGUAAAACACACUUCUAAGUGCCCCUCGCAGAGAGCGUAACCCCCUUUCUUCAGGCCCUCAAAGGACUUCUGCAGACUGAUGUCCCUACGCUUGAUGUUUCUCAGCCACAUCUUCCUCCUGAGUAAUUACAGAAGUGUGUAAAGGUUUAAUCUCACAUUUUAUUAAAUUUAGCUGGAUGUCCGUCUAUACUUAAGGUUUCCUGUUUUAUAGUUAAUUUAGUAGUGUAGUGAUUGCUAUGCUGUGGUAGUAUAUUGUAGUUUAUAGAUAGUUUAUGGUUAUGUCCUCUAUCCCUGUUAUUCACCCUCAUUUAAAAUAUAUAUAUAUUUAAACAGCAGCCAUUUUGUUUUUCUCUCUGUGAGAGAAAUGACUCCAGAAGUCAUAAGAAAGGCAGCCUUUCUUGCUACUCCUGUUACCAGUACCCAAAUGAGGACCUUACAUUCUUACUGAUCGUGUCUUGCUAUAGUUAGUAGUGUAAAUAGAUUCAUCCCUGUAGUCUGCAGACUUCUGGGGGCUAUGGUCACACUCCUCUUCAAUCAAAACAGACACUUCUCUCUGUGAGAAACUACCUUAACAACCAUUGCCUGAUUAGCAACACCCCCAUUAUCCCAUCUGUGGCACAAUGUUGUUCUUUGAGGUUUAACAGCUGUUGGCAUCCAAUAAAUGUUGCAUUACCGCCAUCUACAUGACUGGAGUACAUCUCCUUAAUACUUUGCUUGAGGGAAGAAAAAAAAAUACCCUGCCAUCAAACACUACACUCACAAAAAAAAUACCACCUACUCCAC